UGUGCCGGGUCGGACUGCUUGCCGUCACCCAAAGAAUGCACACAGCCUCGCGAGCGCCUGCAAGAGUCCAAAAUAUACGGUCUCACGCUCGGCUCACCACCACCACCCCUUUCCCCCCCAACGUCCGGCUGCCACAGAGGGAAGCUUUGCACCAAAACAGGAGCCCUCCACAGUAGCGAAGAAGCUAGAGCGGCGAAACGAAACGACCAGAGGGCAGCAAUAACGCCCAGGCGGGAAAGAACCUUCCGAGCGACUGCAGAACUUCAGAGCCGCUGUCGCCGGCUCUAAUGGGAAAGCAAAGGCGGGAGCUGUUCCAGUGCUGACCCUGGGAGAAACUGCAACAGCAGCAACGCCAUCUUGGUCCAGAUCUGCCCUCCCCCCAACACUGCAAACACAAAUCAAGACAAGGAAGCAAUCCUACGCUCUAAUUAUGCUGAAGAUGUAACAUCUGUCAUUUCACCCAGCCUAAAGAAAGUGCUGAAAAACACACCCGUGCAAAGGAUACGCUGCUUGAAUUGGUGUGCUGGAAUAGCACUUUGCAGGCAAAUGGGAAUCACUGCAGAGAUAACAGCAGGGCAUCUCUUGAUUUGCAGGGCUGCACCCUGAGGCCCUUUGGGAAUGAGUGAAGAUAAAGAUGAAACACACUUGCAGGAAAAUAACACUAUUUGAAACAAACAUUUGCAACUGUUCUUGUCUGUUCUUUUAUUGUGAAAUUGGCCCACCUUAAAAAACACUGAAA